AGAGAGUGAAUGAGAGUGUGAGAGAGAGUGAAUGUGGGUAAUGGGCAAUUAAUUUUGUUCCUGAAUAAAAUAUGCCCCCGAAUUUUCAGCCGAACAGCGAGCCAAAAACCAGUCCAAAAAUUUGUCUGAAUCGUGUUUGACCUAUUUGCACAUGAGGACUGCUGAGGACUGCCAGUUUAACAAUAAUGGCUAAUAUCAAAGAACCAUAUUGUGAAACCGCAUAUAAAAUAAAUGCCUAUUUACAAAUUACAGAACAAAAAAA